CAGUGGGGAAUAUUGCACAAUGGGGGAAACCCUGAUGCAGCAACGCCGCGUGAGUGAUGAAGGUCUUCGGAUUGUAAAACUCUGUCUUUGGGGACGAUAAUGACGGUACCCAAGGAGGAAGCCACGGCUAACUACGUGCCAGCAGCCGCGGUAAUACGUAGGUGGCAAGCGUUGUCCGGAUUUACUGGGCGUAAAGGGAGCGUAGGUGGAUAUUUAAGUGGGAUGUGAAAUACUCGGGCUUAACCUGAGUGCUGCAUUCCAAACUGGAUAUCUAGAGUGCAGGAGAGGAAAGUAGAAUUCCUAGUGUAGCGGUGAAAUGCGUAGAGAUUAGGAAGAAUACCAGUGGCGAAGGCGACUUUCUGGACUGUAACUGACACUGAGGCUCGAAAGCGUGGGGAGCAAACAGGAUUAGA
rnacentral:rRNA from 1 species